rnacentral:rRNA from 1 species
CACCUACGGGGCGCAGCAGUGAGGAAUAUUGGUCAAUGGGCGGAAGCCUGAACCAGCCAAGUCGCGUGAGGGAAUAAGGCCCUACGGGUCGUAAACCUCUUUUGCCGGGGAGCAAGGGCGGGGACGUGUCCCGGCCCGGAGAGUACCCGGAGAAAAAGCAUCGGCUAACUCCGUGCCAGCAGCCGCGGUAAUACGUAGGGGGCAAGCGUUAUCCGGAUUUACUGGGUGUAAAGGGAGCGUAGACGGCGCGGCAAGUCUGAAGUGAAAGGCAGGGGCUUAACCCCUGAACUGCUUUGGAAACUGCC